AAUUUAUGUAUUCCACAUCUAAAAACUAUUCCAACGCUCUCGAGAACUUGCAGGACUCAAAAAUUGCUCUUUACACUACGCUCUCUCCACUGUUUGCAACUGCAGACGACAAUCGUCUGGAGACCUCCGAAAACUUGGUUAGACAACAAAAAUCUGAUUCGGACGUAAAAAUAAACAUUGAUAACCACACGAGUUUAUCUGAGGAUGAGAACUUGGAAAAUCAAAAAAUAGAAGAAAUCGAUUUUCCAAUCAAAGAUUUCGAGAAAUUUGAACAACCUGAACAUGAGAUGUCCUAU